rnacentral:tRNA from 1 species
GUGAGUAUAGCUCAGUGGUAGAGCGCCUGCUUAGCAUGCAGGGGGUCCUGGUUCAAUCUCCAGCACCUCCA